rnacentral:tRNA from 1 species
GCCUGAUUAGCUCAUUGGAAGAGCGAUUGUAAAAGCAUCAAUUACUAUGUUAUAGACACUUACAGAUGUUUUUUCAAUAGGUCACCGGUUCGAUUCCGGUAUCAGGCA